rnacentral:rRNA from 1 species
UACGAAGGGGGCUAGCGUUGUUCGGAAUCACUGGGCGUAAAGCGCACGUAGGCGGACAUUUAAGUCAGGGGUGAAAUCCCGAGGCUCAACCUCGGAACUGCCCUUGAUACUGGGUGUCUUGAGUAUGGUAGAGGUUGGUGGAACUGCGAGUGUAGAGGUGAAAUUCGUAGAUAUUCGCAAGAACACCAGUGGCGAAGGCGGCCAACUGGACCAUCACUGACGCUGAGGUGCGAAAGCGUGGGGAGCGAACAGG